rnacentral:rRNA from 1 species
AACAAGGUUUCCGUAGGUGAACCUGCGGAAGGAUCAUUACCGAAUUGUCAACAAGGGUUGUUGCUGGUCCUCGAACGGGGGCAUGUGCACACUCUGUUCACACAUCCACUCACACCUGUGCACCCUCUGUAGUUCUAUGGUCAGGGGGGCCUGUACCCUCCUGCUGUGGUUCUGCGUCUUUACACACACACUGUAACAAAGUCUCAUGGAAUGCAUGCCGCGUUUAACGCAAUACAAUACAACUUUCAGCAACGGAUCUCUUGGCUCUCGCAUCGAUGAAGAACGCAGCGAAAUGCGAUAAGUAAUGUGAAUUGCAGAAUUCAGUGAAUCAUCGAAUCUUUGAACGCACCUUGCGCCCUUUGGCCAUUCCGAAGGGCAUGCCUGUUUGAGUAUCAUGAACACCUCAACUCUUCAUGGUUUUCCAUGAUGAGCUUGGACUCUGGGGGUCUUGCUGGCCCGUGGUCGGCUCCUCUCAAAUGAAUCAGCUUGCCAGUGUUUGGUGGGCAUCACAGGUGUGAUAACUAUCUACGCUUGUGGUUUUCCACCAGGGUAACCUUCAGCAGUGGAGGUUCACUGGAGCUCACAAAUGUCUCUCCUCAGCGAGGACAGCUUUUUGAACGUUUGAUCUCAAAUCAGGUAGGACUACCCGCUGAACUUAAGCAUAUCAAUAAGCGGAGGAAAAGAAACUAACAAGGAUUCCCCUAGUAACUGCGAGUGAAGCGGGAAGAGCUCAAAUUUAAAAUCUGGCGUGCCUCUGGUCGUCCGAGUUGUAGUCUGGAGAAGCGUCUUCCGUGUUGGACCGUGUAUAAGUCUCUUGGAACAGGGCGUCAUAGAGGGUGAGAAUCCCGUCUUUGACACGGACUACCAAUGCUUUGUGAUGCGCUCUCAAAGAGUCGAGUUGUUUGGGAAUGCAGCUCAAAAUGGGUGGUAAAUUCCAUCUAAAGCUAAAUAUAGGCGAGAGACCGAUAGCGAACAAGUACCGUGAGGGAAAGAUGAAAAGCACUUUGGAAAGAGAGUUAAACAGUACGUGAAAUUGCUGAAAGGGAAACGCUUGAUGUCAGUCACGUCUGCCAGGACUCAGCCUCGCUUCUGCUUGGUGUACUUUCUGGUUUGAUGGGCCAACAUCAAUUUUGACCGUUGGAGAAAGGCUUUGGGAAUGUGGCACCUUUGGGUGUGUUAUAGCCCUUUGUUGUAUACAACGGUUGGGAUUGAGGACCGCAGCACGCCUCCAUGGCCGGGGUUCGCCCACGUACGUGCUUAGGAUGUUGGCAUAAUGGCUUUAAGCGACC